GGAUAUUAGGGCUAUCUGGCUGUGACAUCUAUCAUCCCAUUGAUCUCCAGGGUUGAUUUCACUGAUGUGCCUGGUUAGGUGGGUGUCCCUUUCUCCCCCACCACUCCGUGUCCAUCCCUCCUGAAGCUGUGUGCUCACUGACUCUCCUGGAACAGGAGAGGCCCUGUUUUUGAAUAAGGGUACAGGAGAAGCUGCACGCCCCUGCAAGGACAUCCAAACAAGCUCUCUAAGAAUGAUGGGUGCUGACUACCCCCAAGGAACUGAGCAUUCUAAUUUUAGGCAUGAUCUUUUAAAAUU
rnacentral:snRNA from 1 species